rnacentral:sRNA from 1 species
GCACCGGAUAGGCCGACGGGCCGAAGAGGCGGACACCCGACCGCCCUGCCGGUGCAUCUCAAUCGGGG